UCGGAUAUGGUGUAACGGCUAACAUUGCCGCCUCUCAUUCCUGAACGCGGCAGCUCGGGGUUCGAUUCCCCGUAUCCGAG
rnacentral:tRNA from 1 species